AGCAGCCGCGGUAAUUCCAGCUCCAAUAGCGCAUAUUAAAGUUGUUGCAGUUAAAAAGCUCGUAGUUGAAUUUCGGGAUCAAUACGUCGGUCGUGCUUCGGUACGUACUGGCGUAAUUGAUUUCUCCCUUCUGACGAACCAUGAUGUCAUUAACUUGGUGUCAUGGGAAAUCAGGACUGUUACUUUGAAAAAAUUAGAGUGUUUAAAGCAGGCUCACGCUUGAAUACAUUAGCAUGGAAUAAUGAAAUAGGACGUUCGAUCCUAUUUUGUUGGUUUUUAGGAUCAACGUAAUGAUUAAUAGGGAUAGUUGGGGGCAUUAGUAUUCAAUUGUCAGAGGUGGAAUUCUUGGGUUUAUUGAAGACUAACUACUGCGAAAGCAUUUGCCAAGGAUGUUUUCAUUAAUCAAGAACGAAAGUUAGGGGAUCGAAGACGAUCAGAUACCGUCGUAGUCUUAACCAUAAACUAUGCCGACUAGGGAUCGGAUGAUGUUAAUUUUUUAAUGACUCAUUCGGCGCCUUACG
rnacentral:rRNA from 1 species